rnacentral:rRNA from 1 species
UACGAAGGGGGCUAGCGUUGCUCGGAAUCACUGGGCGUAAAGGGUGCGUAGGCGGGUCUUUAAGUCAGGGGUGAAAUCCUGGAGCUCAACUCCAGAACUGCCUUUGAUACUGAAGAUCUUGAGUUCGGGAGAGGUGAGUGGAACUGCGAGUGUAGAGGUGAAAUUCGUAGAUAUUCGCAAGAACACCAGUGGCGAAGGCGGCUCACUGGCCCGAUACUGGCGCUGAGGCACGAAAGCGUGGGGAGCAAACAGG